UCGCGCUAGACGGGGAGCUGGCGGUGUCCUGUACCCGCAAUCCGCCAUAGCGGGGUCGAAUUCCCUUCAAGAGGGCUUAGUGCACCUGGGACUGCUUCUGUCGGUCGGCGUCGAAGGGCGGGUCCUGCGCAGCAGGAGCCCCCAAACCCCGCCAGGUCCGGGAGGAAGCAACGGUAAGGAGACCCUCCUGGGUGCCGCAGGGGUGCCUGCCCGGAGCCGGGCGGCAGCGACAAGCCGGGUAGCACGGUUCGAAGGAGGGUGCGCGG
rnacentral:SRP_RNA from 1 species